rnacentral:rRNA from 1 species
GCGGCGUGCCUAAUACAUGCAAGUCGAACGCGGGCACUUGUGCCCGAGUGGCGAACGGGUGAGUAAUACAUAAGUAACCUGGCCUUUACAGGGGGAUAACUGCUGGAAACGGCAGCUAAGACCGUAUAGGUAGGGACACUGCAUGGUGACCGUAUUAAAAGUGCUGCAAGGCACUGGUAGAGGAUGGACUUAUGGCGCAUUAGCUGGUUGGUGAGGUAACGGCUCACCAAGGCGACGAUGCGUAGCCGACCUGAGAGGGUGACCGGCCACACUGGGACUGAGACACGGCCCAGACUCCUACGGGAGGCAGCAGUAGGGAAUUUUCGGCAAUGGGGGGAACCCUGACCGAGCAACGCCGCGUGAAGGAAGAAGGAAUUCGUUCUGUAAACUUCUGUUAUAAAGGAAGAAAGACGGAUGGAGGAAAUGACAUCCGAGUGACGGUACUUUAUGAGAAAGCCACGGCUAACUACGUGCCAGCAGCCGCGGUAAUACGUAGGUGGCAAGCGUUAUCCGGAAUUAUUGGGCGUAAAGAGGGAGCAGGCGGCAGCAAAGGUCUGUGGUGAAAGACUGAAGCUUAACUUCAGUAAGCCAUAGAAACCGGGCAGCUAGAGUGCAGGAGAGGAUCGUGGAAUUCCAUGUGUAGCGGUGAAAUGCGUAGAUAUAUGGAGGAACACCAGUGGCGAAGGCGACGAUCUGGCCUGCAACUGACGCUCAGUCCCGAAAGCGUGGGGAGCAAAUAGGAUUAGAUACCCUAGUAGUCCACGCCGUAAACGAUGAGUACUAAGUGUUGGAAGUCAAAUUUCAGUGCUGCAGUUAACGCAGUAAGUACUCCGCCUGAGUAGUACGUUCGCAAGAAUGAAACUCAAAGGAAUUGACGGGGGCCCGCACAAGCGGUGGAGCAUGUGGUUUAAUUCGAAGCAACGCGAAGAACCUUACCAGGUCUUGACAUACUCAUAAAGGAUCCAGAGAUGGAUAGAUAGUUAUAUGAGAUACAGGUGGUGCAUGGUUGUCGUCAGCUCGUGUCGUGAGAUGUUGGGUUAAGUCCCGCAACGAGCGCAACCCUUGUCGUUAGUUACCAUCAUUAAGUUGGGGACUCUAGCGAGACUGCCAGUGACAAGCUGGAGGAAGGCGGGGAUGACGUCAAAUCAUCAUGCCCCUUAUGACCUGGGCUACACACGUGCUACAAUGGAUGGUGCAGAGGGAAGCGAAGCCGCGAGGCGAAGCAAAACCCAUAAAACCAUUCUCAGUUCGGAUUGUAGUCUGCAACUCGACUACAUGAAGUUGGAAUCGCUAGUAAUCGCGAAUCAGCAUGUCGCGGUGAA